CGCGAUUCCUAUUCUGAGUCUACUUGGACUCGAAAUCUAGCUAUUUUUCUACUAUAUAUAGGGAGGGGCAGAGCACGAGUCCUCAUCGAUCGGCAAUGGCGGAGAUUAAUUGGGCGGAACUUCUACAUGAUUUGUUUGCUCUCAUUGCUAGGCGUUUGAAUAUGUUUGAAGACUACUUCAAUUUCGGCACUGUCUGCAAAUCUUGGCACGCUGCAGCCACUAAGCAUCCUCCCUGCUUCACAUGCUGAUGUUGUGUUGGGUGUACGUUAUAGUUUUGAUGAUUGACAAACUGACAAAGUGAUAUGAAACAUGUCAGUCAAGCUGGUUCACAGACACACUGUCACAUGUAGCUGAAACUUGCAGCAAAUCAUUGAUGAUUAAAGGCAAGGGUGGAAGAAAUCAAGAAUCAGAUUAGUGGUUAAUUUUGAUAAACUCAAGGAAAUAAAUAUGCACAUUAUUUGAAGAAGUUGAAUUUGAUUCAAACACUUGAUGAUGAGAGAAAGCAAGUUGAGUUGAAAAAGAAGAGUCCUAUGUGUAGAAAGAGAAAGUUUCUGCAGAUUGAAGAAGUUGUGGUUGAGUAAAAUACUUGAAGACAAGUUAAAGAAAAAAAGUCCUACUCAAUCUAGGAGAGAAAGAGAGGCGGAAGUGAAUAAAAAGAG
rnacentral:lncRNA from 1 species